rnacentral:rRNA from 1 species
UACGGAGGGUGCAAGCGUUAUCCGGAUUCACUGGGUUUAAAGGGUGCGUAGGUGGGCAAGUAAGUCAGUGGUGAAAUCUCCGGGCUUAACCCGGAAACUGCCAUUGAUACUAUUUGUCUUGAAUACUGUGGAGGUCAGCGGAAUAUGUCAUGUAGCGGUGAAAUGCUUAGAUAUGACAUAGAACACCUAUUGCGAAGGCAGCUUACUACACAGAGAUUGACGCUCAUGCACGAAAGCGUGGGGAUCAAACAGG